CCUACGGGUGGCAGCAGUGGGGGAUAUUGCACAAUGGGGGAAACCCUGAUGCAGCGACGCCGCGUGGGCGAAGAAGUAUUUCGGUAUGUAAAGCCCUAGCAGCAGGGAAGAAGAAAGGACGGGACCUGAGUAAGAAGCACCGGCUAAAUACGUGCCAGCAGCCGCGGUAAUACGUAUGGUGCAAGCGUUAUCCGGAUUUACUGGGUGGAAAGGGAGCGCAGGCGGCACGGCAAGCCUGAUGGGCAAGCCCGCGGCCCAACCGCGGGACUGCAUUGGGAACGCCCGGGCUGGGGUGCCGGAGAGGUAGGCGGAAUUCCUAGUGUAGCGGUGAAAUGCGUAGAUAUUAGGAGGAACACCAGUGGCGAAGGCGGCCUACUGGACGGUGCCUGACGCUGAGGCUCGAAAGCGUGGGGAGCAAACAGGAUUAGAUACCCGUGUAGUC
rnacentral:rRNA from 1 species